UAGGACGAUGAACCAUCCUGGUUUACCUGGGACUGAGAGGGAGGUGUCUUGGGACAUAGGACUUUCAGUGCUAAAACCAG
rnacentral:pre_miRNA from 14 species